CCUGGGUUGGACAUCCCCGGACAACCUGUGAAGGUAGGUUUCCACUUCGGUGGCAGGGAGACAGGUGUGCAUGGCAGUCGUCAGCUCGUGUCGUGAGAAUGUGGGGUUAAGUCCCCUAAACGAGAGAAACGCCUGCAUCUAGUUGCCAGAGAAUAAAAACAAAACACUCUAGUUGGACUGCCCAGGUUAACUGGGAGGAAGAUGGGGAUGACGUCAAGUCCUCAUGGCCCUUAUGCCCAGGGCUACACACGUGCUACAAUGGCCGGUACAAAGGGCUGCAAUAUCGCGAGAUGGAGCUAAUCCCAAAAAGCCGGUCUCAGUUCGGAUUGGAGUCUGCAACUCGACUCCAUGAAGUUGGAAUCGCUAGUAAUCCCGGAUCAGCAUUCCGUUUUUUUUACGUUCCCGGGCCUUGUACACACCGCCCGUCACACCACGAAAGCCUGUUGUACCAGAAGUGCUGGCCUUUCCAGGGAGGCAGGUCCCCAAGGCAUGGGGGGGCCCCCUUUUUCG
rnacentral:rRNA from 1 species